rnacentral:lncRNA from 1 species
AUAAUAAAAUAGAUUAAUUUUAUUUAAAAAAUCUGAAAUAAUUGAAAAAAAAUAACAUCAAUUUUAAUGAUGCUAACGCCACUAACUAAACCCUAAACUUUAAAUCUAACCCCUAAACCCUAAAUUCUAAACUCAAACUCUAAACCCUAAACCCAAACCGUAAACCCUAAACCCAAGCCCUAUAUCCUAAACCCAAAUCCUAAACCUUAAAUCCAAACAGUAAACCCUAAACCCAAACCCUAUUACACUCUAAACUCAAACCAUAUACCCAAACCUAAUCCUUAGACCCUAAACUCAAGUCGUAAACCCUGAACCCAAAUCCUAUAUCCUAAAGGUUUGGGUUAAUAUUGAUGUUGUUUCUUUAGGGUUUAAGGUUUGAGUUUAGAAUUUAGGUUUGGGUUUAGGAUCUAGGGUUUGAGUUUAAGGUCUAGAGUUUGGGUUUAGAGUUUACGGUUUGGGUUUAGGGUUUAGGAUUUGGGUUUAAGAUAUAGGGUUUGGGUUUAGGGUUUAGAGUUUGAGUUUAGAAUUUAGGAUUUAGAUUUAAGGUUUAGGGUUUAGGGUUUAGAAUUUAAUAUUUAGGGUUUAGUUACGGCGUUAGCGUCAUUAUUUUUUUUCAAUUAUUUUAGAUUUUUUUAUAAAAAUAAUGUAUUUUUUAUUAAUUUAUAUGGUAUUUUGAUUGGUAAUAAGAAGGGAAGUGAAUUUAAAAGUUCACCUUAGAGUGAACCUAAGUUUUGUUCUUAAAAUUACUAGAAAAUGUGGCUACUAUCAAAUGUGUAGAAGGUAAAUGUUUUAAAUGCGUGAAUAGUGUUUGUGAUUGACCGGGAUCUAACCUAGGGUUCUAGAAAAUUAAUUACGACAACUUUUAGUAUGGAUUUUUGAUUCAUUAGUUCAAUACUUCGAAGUUUG